UGAUUGACAGCAACAAGGCUUUAAAGGGAUCUCUAACAAAAUGCCAGCUGGAGCAUCUGCUUAGAAACCCAGGGAAAACAAAACUUAUUUUCUGCUUUGACUUUCUUUUUAACAAGCAAAUCAGGUGGCUUAGCAGUAUUUUAUUAAAGAAAAAUAAUAAUGAAGGAGAUAAAGACAGCACUGCACAACAUCUGAUGCAUGAAUUAGAACCAUAUCAAGCAACUCUUCCCUCUGAGGCAGGUGUCAGCUCAGCCCAGGGCUUUCCCUCUGCAGUGACACUGGAACUCUAGCCAGCCUUAUUCAAAACUCUUCUCUUUCUGCAGCUCCAGAAGGUGUGAAGAGCUCAGGAUAAAGGCUUUUUUCCGACUUCUGUGUUCUAGCCUUCUCAUCUCCCAGGAUAAGAACAGCCGCAGGGCAACUUUAACUCACUACAAAGAUGAAGAAGGCAGCUCUCAAAGGAUUUACCAUCUGAAUUUUUUGACAGAAAACUUGAGAUUUGGAAAAAUGCAGCAUGUUCUCACCAUUUUUAUCCAGGAUGCAAAACAGAGACUAUUCUCCUUCCUUCCAAAUGGAAGAUGCCCAGAUCUUCAAGGAACAGAAGUAAACCUACUAUUAGAAGCUAGAAAAAAUUAUACUGAAAUUACUAUUCUUCACUGUUAAGGAGAAGAGGGAUUCACUCUAAGGAGGAUUAUGAUGAGGGAAGUCUGUUCUGAGGAAAUCGUGCAGUUGUGCCUCCUUUCUACUUCCUGCCCAUCACAUAUCCCAUGGAAAAUAAUUGCAAGGAAGAUCCUAACAGCAGUUCCAGGUUUGGAGGAGCAGGAAGAUGAGUAGAGCAGAGACAGGUGGAUAGAUCAAAAUACACCUGAAAUUAUGGGGGAAAAUUUCUUCUGUGAACAGCUGUUUGGUUCUACCUCCCCAUUCUUCUAACAAUAUUUUAAUGUCAGCCUCAUUUAAUUCCUGCCAUCCUUAACCACUUCUUCCAACUUCUCAGCAUUGCUUCUCUUUUAAUUUCCAGUUGGCUUCUUCCUUCCAAAACUUUCUAUCUCAUACCAACUUGUCAUUUGCUACAAUCAUAUUUCCUCUGUGUAUUUUCCUGUCCAUUUAAAAAUAAUGUUUAUAAAUGACUGUUUCUACACAAUCUUAAUACUGAAGUCCUGUUCCUGACUGGCUUCUAUGGUCUCAAAGUGGUAAUAAACCAUAGUAGAAUGCAAUUAGAUCCACUGUCUUUAUUGCAACAAUAAGAAUUUCUUAUUAAAUUAUAAAAGCAAAGCACUCCUUUCUGGUGGCAGAAUUUUUAUAUUCAUCAGACAUUUCGUUUUGGUGGAAAUGACCCAGGAAACUGUUAGACUAAAUUCUGAACACUGGAAUUUCAGCUCAUAAGUCUUGAAUCAUCUUGGAAUAGUACUGUGUACAUGCACCACUGGUUUGAAUUCCAGAAACAGAAUACCAGCAGAUGGCAGAUUGAUCAUUGUUCUAGCUCAUUCCUCUGUGAAAGCUUGAG